UACGGAGGGAGCUAGCGUUGUUCGGAAUUACUGGGCGUAAAGCGCGCGUAGGCGGCUUUGUAAGUUAGAGGUGAAAGCCCGGGGCUCAACUCCGGAACUGCCUUUAAGACUGCAUCGCUAGAAUCCGGGAGAGGUGAGUGGAAUUCCGAGUGUAGAGGUGAAAUUCGUAGAUAUUCGGAAGAACACCAGUGGCGAAGGCGGCUCACUGGACCGGUAUUGACGCUGAGGUGCGAAAGCGUGGGGAGCAAACAGGAUUAGAUACCCCCGUAGUCC
rnacentral:rRNA from 1 species